rnacentral:lncRNA from 1 species
ACCAAGCCAAGAAGGUGGGGUUUCUAGGGGAACAAAGCCAAGCAUUCCAUCUCAGUAGUGAUGAGAACAGUUACUGGCAGCGGUGAGGGGCAUCAGGGAGGACCUCCGUGCGUGAAGGCGUCCCAGGCGGCUCAGUGAAGGGUCCGCCUGCCGGGGGACGCGUUGGCAGGUGGAUUCUUCAAUUGAUAAAAGGUUUUGUCAGCGUAUUUGCUUUUGACUUAGACAACAUGUGCUUGUCAGACACUCUUCUCUUGAGCUCCUGGUGGAUGUGGAGGAUGGAGACGGGGCCUCCACCCCCAUAGAAUGUAGGGUCUAGCAGGGAGGUGGGCCUUCGGUCAUAAACCUCAGUAUUUAGGCGAUCCUGACAGUGGUGAGUGACGCGAAGAUGCCCCAGGCUCAAGGUGUUUCCAGUCCAUGGGGGGCUGGUGAUGGGAGGUGGCAGGCAGGGACGGGGGUGGUGAGAGUUGCUGAGGGGCCACUGGGGGAGGAGGGACGUGGCGGCCCCACCCUGAGGACACACCCAGGCGCCGGACUCCCCUGACCCGCAUGCUCUGAAGUCCAGAGUGGCAGCCGCUGCUCCGGACUAUGGCCCGACUUCCUCUUUCUCUUCCAAAGUCUGUUUCUGUGUCUCUAAAGGAUCUGAAACCCCAUCUGUCUGGUGAUUUUUUUUUGUAAAUCCUUGAAAAUGUUUAUUUUUAUACAGCUUCAUGUGGCGUGUGUCUCAUCCAGCCAGGAUGCUUCUGUUCAGGCGGGCGGCUGGGUCUUCCGCCUGCAUCCCCUGGGGAAGUGGAGGUGGAGGGUGAGGGCGGUGAACUCCGGAUUCCUGCCCCCAGCUGGGUGCCUGGGCCGCCCCUUGUGAGCCAUGCCCGUGUGGGUCUGCCCGACGCUGUCAUGAUGCUGGGGUGGGUCACUCGCCAGGUGCCCUUUGACCCGAGUCCCAAAAGCAGUGCAUGAGAAGUAACCUGGGGGAGGCUGUGACGGGGUGAGGGGCUCCUGUGGCCCCUGGAGAGAAGCCCAGCCUUGGUUCUG